CUGACGGCGGACGCGGCGCAGCGCGCCCGGUUACCUGCGGGAGGGCGGCGGGGGAGGCGGCCGAGGGUCUUGGCUCCGGUCCCCAAUUCGCCCCCUGUUGACACCAACCACCCUCGCCUACCCUGUGAGGCUGUAGCCACUACACCCACAAUCUUCGGGGGGUACGCUCCCUCCGACACCAUAGAGACGGGUCCGGAAACCGGACAGAACGCCAGCCUCCAGCCCUCCGGCACCACCACUGAGCUGAACCAACCCGGAACCGAGACAGAGCGGCCGCACAGGUGACUCUCACGCCCGUGCCAUCUUGAGUGUGGGCGCCGGUGCCGGUCGCGGCUUCGCUCCCUCCUUCCAGCGGCCCGGGCGGCCCGGGCGGCCCCGGAGAAUGUUUCUUCUAUUGGCGCUUACGUUGAACUCUCAAGUUUGCCUUGAGUUUGAUCUUUAGGCCUUUGGCCGCGCAGUUUCAAUUUGAUAUCCGCCCGAAUCCAAGAUGGCCGCCGUCGCCUCUGACAAAUCGUGAAGGGGCGGGGCGCAGAAACGAAGUAGGGAAGCCGGCCGGGGCCUUCGGGGUGACGUCGCUCGCCCCGGCGGCGGCGAUUGGUGGCGCUGCGUGGGCCCGAGUCGUGCAGCCGGCUGGUGCAGGCGGGCGGCGCUGGAGGUGCUGCUGGCUUCAGCCGCUGAGACGGAAGUUCAGCAAAGAGUAAAUCGCGGGUGCUCCUGUUUAUAGCACCUAUUAUCAAUAUUAAUGGUGCUUAUUUAAUAGGGCGCUGUGGGAAUAUACCUAACAGUUUUUAAACGACUGAGUGAACUGCGUCUUCUCUGCUCGCCUCCCUGCUAAAUGCUCUGCAACCUCACCGUUGACAGCUGACCUGAAUAAUUUGAUCAUCCCAAACUUUUAGGUUCUUCCUGGUAGCUGAAGAGGUUUAAGAUGGAUAAGGAUGCCACAAUUUCUGCAUAAGGUUAAGUGGAAGCAAAAAGAAUUUGAAUGCACCGUAUCUUCAUGCUCCGUAGUCACUUGUGGGUAGUGACUACCAUAGCGGAGAAUACCAUUCUGGGCAGGGUGACCACCAACCACCUUGCACUAGAAAAUUGAGAAGCAGAAGUACAGUGCUCCAGAGGCAGGUUUCCGUUAUCAGUGUCAUCGGCAUCUGGCAACCAGAAAUCUUCCAGGCCAGUGGCAGAGCCAGCACCAUUAGGGACACGGCCUCAAAUGGCAUCUCCAAAGGCUGAGGCACCUUGAAUUUUUAGCCUGUGUUUAUUCAGAGGCUUUCAGGAACUUGGAAACAAGCAGCACAGAGUAGAAACAAGAAGCACAAAUAUGCAAAGGCACCUUAAAAACAGAACAUCUCACAAAGGGACCUCACAGCAACAGUACCAUAGUUCUAAAAGAAGAAGAGAAUCCUCAGAAGGGAAACUGUUAGCCAUGUUGGCACAGAAGAAGAUGCUCCUCAGAGGCAAAGCUAGCAACUAACCCAAGCAAUUCCUUGGGGUGACUAUCAGGAUACUAUCAGGAACAUCUGACCUUUUUGGCAGGCUUGUCCUCAUUGAGGAACAGGCCUUAAAAAAGGUUCUGAGAGUCUGAGGUCAUCAUACAUUUUAACUGCAAAGCUGUAUUUUAUUUCUACGACCAAAAAGCAAACUUCCGAUUAUUGUAUUACCAUGUGAUUUGACAAAAGGUUAUGUAAAGGAUAAACUUAGACAUUAUUCAAUCUGCCUGAUGUACACUGACAGAUAGAUACUCAGAUGUUUUAAAAAAGAUUUGUCAGUCACAUUGUUGGUAAGAAUUUGCACUCCCAAGUCAGUUAAAGUAAGAUCGAACCUUGAACUCAAACUGAUGAGUUUGAGUUUCUGAGCCUGCAAGUUUACUGUAAUAAAGUUCUAUUUACUCAGUCGACAGUUCACCCAGAGACAUCUGUGUGUUUAGGCCAAAUUUUUUGAACUUCCAUAGAUAUCCCUUGGGAAAAAAUUUUAAGGGGAAAAAUUAGAAACUAUUAAAAAUCAGUUUUUCUGUAAUUAUCCAUCAUGUAUCACAGAUGAACUUGCUGUUUAAAGAAAAGAAUGUCUGAAACAUUAUGACCAGUUUGCAUGGUACUUUGAUGUAAGUUGUAGGUCCUUUUGUUUUAUGAAAGAUCAGCUAUAUUCACACAGUUAAUAUCUUUUAAAUAAAGUUCACUCUGAAACACAAAAGCUUGAUUCUUUAAA